rnacentral:tRNA from 1 species
UUUAAAUUGGCAGAUUAGUGCAAUGAUUUUAGAAAUCAAAUAUAUUAUAUUAAUA